AUUUCAAAAAAUUAUCCCCAGGAGGGCUCUGGACCCCUCGGCAUUGUAUCUUCAGUACCGGCAGCUUGCAGUCCACCAGUUCAAUCCUCAAGCACCAGAACACGG
ensembl:snoRNA